rnacentral:tRNA from 4 species
UCGUCCCCGGUGGGGCGGCCGGACUUCAAAUCCGGUUGGGGCCGCCAGCGGUCCUGGGCAGGUUCGACUCCUGUGAUCUUCC